rnacentral:rRNA from 1 species
UACGUAGGGGGCAAGCGUUGUCCGGAUUUAUUGGGCGUAAAGAGCGUGUAGGCGGUUUGGUAGGUCCGCUGUGAAAACUCGAGGCUCAACCUCGAGACGCCGGUGGAAACCAUCAGGCUAGAGUCCGGAAGGAGGAGAGGUAGGUAACUUCCGUGGUGUAGCGGGUGAAAAUGCGCAGAUAUCAGGAAGAACACCCGUGGCUAAGGCGGCUCUCUAGUACGGUACUGACGCUGAGACGCGAAAGCGUGGGGAGCAAACAGG